UAUCUGGUUGAUCCUGCCAGUAGUCAUAUGCUUGUCUCAAAGAUUAAGCCAUGCAUGUCUAAGUACAAACCUUAAUACGGUGAAACGCGAAUGGCUCAUUAAAUCAGCUAUGGUUCCUUAGAUCGUCUCAUCCUACUCGGAUAACUGUGGAAAAUCUAGAGCUAAUACGUGCUUACAACCCUGACCUCACGGGAGGGGCGCAUUUAUUAGAUCAAAACCAAUCGG
rnacentral:ncRNA from 1 species